UGCAAACAGGAAAAAGAUAAUGACAACAAUCCUUUGGUCAAAUGUAAAUAGGGAAAUAUGGAAUCAGAAAGCACAGAUCUCCUAGUGGUUACUCACUGAUAAUCCCUUCCCAGAAGAGGCAGGUCUGUAAGCAGAACAACUAAUGAAGACAUGUUUCCUAUGUGCUUGUGCAUAGUGGCUGAUGAGCCUUGGUGCCUUGGGUACCAGCAACAGUCUCAAGUGGGAUCUUCUCCUGCACAGACCUGCAUAAGGUUCUGCCUGCAUGCAUUACCUGUGCAGGGUAAUGGGACUGAGCUGUGCUCCAGAGCAUUCCUUAGUAAGGGAGCUCAUCAAGUCCUUCGUGCCCAGCUGGCUGUGUGUGACACCUGUGGAGCCCCAGUACUUGUGCCCUCGGUGCCAAGGUUAGUGAUAAAUGACCAAACAUCCUGGUUCACAAGUGACUGAAGGAUGGCCACAGAGAAUUACAUGCACAAGCAAAGCAAUGUUAUCUCUCUUGGAAAUCGUGCAAACCCCAAAUUCAUUUCGUUUGUAAGUCAUUUUGAAAGCGUGCAAUGCUUUCUGGCUUCAGCCUUUGAGUCAGAGGAGCUGCAAGAUGGCUUUGUCAUUAUGUUGGUGGAGUGAGAUCAGCACCUGCAGCACAGCAGUGUUCCUCUGUACUGGUGCUCCAGGAGAUGCUUCAGGUGCCAGCUCUGGUUUGAUGGUGGCAAUGAAAACCAAGGAGAGCUCAGUGAACUGGUGGUGUUUUUCAGUCUUGGUACCCAGUGAAAUUUCUAUAGCUGUUUGUUUGAAAGGCAGAAGUGCUGCAGGAGAGCAUGAUGUUCUUUGGGGGAUAAGAUCCCCCUCUCUGUCCUCCUUAUAACAGCUCAUUUUGUCCCUUUUCAGUAGAGUAAUUUUAGUGCUUUGGAACCUAACGAUGUUUAUCCCAAGUAACAGUUUCAUAUUUCCAAGCACAGUUUGCAGCUGCCAGGAAAAACAAGCUUGAAUUUUCAGUUCAUUCAGAGCAACUGUAACGAGGGGUGUUUUAAACAGGGGCAAAACUUAGAAAUUGGAAAAUAAAGUUUGGUCUGGAGAUUCCAGGGCAGCCUGAAAUAUCAUUUUUUUUCUCAUGCUGUAUCUAAAUCGUGGAGUAAUGGAUCUCCUCAUAGUUUGUUUUUGAGAGCUGUUUUCCUGUCUCUAAGUAUUGCUUAUUUCCAUUCAUCCUAGUGUUUCAAAAUGUCCUUAUUUUAAUUUUCUAGAGCACAAGGAAUUCUUACAUUUUACUUAUUUCUCUUAAACUGUUUGCAUUCUUUUUUUGUGUGUGUGUUGUGUUUUUGUAAGGCGUUUUGUUAUAAAACUUGUAACUGUUGAUAAUUGCACGAUAGGUUGAAGGGUGCUUUGAAUGUUUAUUAGACAAACAGCUACAGCUCUGGCUGCCAUCAGUUUCCAACUGCCAUACCUCAAAGCUUGCCCAUAACUUUCUGUUGCUUGAAAGUUGUCCCUUUAGCUGUGCGAUGAGUGUCCUCUGCUCCAGUCAUAUUUCUGACUGUUUCCUCACAAAUGCAUCUGUGCUGUGAUCCAAGAACAGGACGUGUUCCAGAAUGGCAGAAUGAGAGCAACCCGGGCUGGAAGGAGCCUGAGGAGAUCCCUUGGCACAACCUUUGGUCACAGAGGGAGCCAGAAGGAACAGGGAAUGGGAUCCUGCCUGCUUGUGUCCUGCUCUGUGCUUACAUGUCCCAUGUGUGGUGUCAGACUGCUGCGUGGCUCUGGCUGGCGUUGUCAGUCUGUAUUCCUUUCAUGGGCAGACUUGGUCCUGUGUCACUAUGUCUCGGGAUCAGACGGUGUGUAAGUACUGUGGCGUCAGCUAUUUGAUACUGCAUGAAUUUAAGGUGAUGGAAGAAAAAAUAAAAGCAAUGGAAAAGGAGAUCAAGUUUUAUGAAGGAAGUCUAGAACGGGAAAAGGGACUUCAAGAAGAACUGCAGUCUCUUUACCAAGACCUUGAACGCUGCCGAGCUGAUGGGAAAUCUAAAACAGAAAGAAUAACAAGCCUAACAAUGGAGUUAAAAACCAAACAAGAUGAACUAAAAAAUGUGAAAGAAGACUUGCGGUAUUUCCAGGAAGAAAAGGAAGCUGCCCAUAAACAAUCCCAGCUGCUCAGAAGUACAUUGGAACACCAUUGCUCAACUCUGAGCAGGGCUGUCUCUCUGUUUCCUUUCAUCAGAAGAGAACUAGAAAGUAUUAAAGAAGUUGUGUCCAGUAACCUAGAGAGCUGGGCUGCCCUGAAAGAAGAAAUUUUUCAACAAAUAAGAACUGUUAGCAAAGAAGCUUUGACAGAAAUACCCAAACUGAAUCAAAAGUUAGCAAAAUCCCAGAAGGAGAAUGAGUGCCUUCAGGAAAAGGUAAAACAUCUGACUCUGGUGGCUGAUACAGUUGAGCUGAAAACUCAACAGCUUCAAACUUCUCUUCAGCAAGGAAAUGAGCUCCAAAGCAGAUGCCAUGAGCUACAAAAGGAAACAUUAGAUUUAACUAAUCAAAUCGAGACCACUGAACACAAGCUGCAGAAGGUAACAGCUGAGAUGGAUCACUACAAAAAGCUGCUAAUGGUGAAAUCAGCAGAACUUGAUGUGUGUCAAAAUGAACUGAAAAAAAUGAAAAAUGAAAAUGGAAUUUCUGAGUCAAGACUUGCAAAAGAGCUCAAAGAGAAGGAAGAAUCUCUACUGAUUUGCCAACAAGUAUGCAAACGUUUGCAGGAGGAGGUGGCUGAGAAGGAAAGGAGAGAAGGAGAUCUAAGAAGAAGAACCAGUCAAUCAGAAAGUGAACUGGAAACACUUAAAGCUCUUCUCACACAAACAGAAGAAGAGGUGGUGAUGUUGAAGCAAGAAAGGGAGUUAAUGCUGAUUUCUCAUCAGAACAGAACAGAACAGCUGCAGGAAACAUUAAGGCAGAAGAUGCGGAAUGAAGAUAACUGGAGGGAGAAGGUGGAGAUUGAUCUGGCCAAAGGUGAAGCACGACACAAAGAAGCAAUUCUCAAAGUCAAAGAAGAAGCCAGAGUGGAACUAGACACUGAAAGACAAAAGCAGCAAGAAUUAAUCACAAAAUACCAGAGAGAUCACGAAGAGCUCCAGAAGAAGAUACCUGAAUUAAUAUCCAAUGCCACCAACAGCUUACGGAUGGAAGCAGAAACUCUUGAAAAGAAGCUGCAAGAUGUUCAGAUCAAACUUGCAGAGAAAGAUAAAGAGAAAGAAAAAGAAAUUCAGAGCCUUAAAAGGCUGAUUACUGAACUUGAAUUUCAGCUGAAGGUGGAACAGAACAAUAACGAAUCAUUACUGGAUAAUAUGAGGAAAGAAAUUAAACACAAGUCAGAUGAAUUGGAAGAAUUAACCCAGGAGAGGACGCAGCUGAUUCACAGUUUGAGUCAAGUGCAAGAGGAGAACACUCUUCUCCAGGAAACGGUGCGCAGAGAGUGCGAGGAACGCUAUGAGCUGACUGCAGCUUUGACUCAAGCCAGGGAACAAGUACUGCAACUCAGAAAGCUCAGUGGAAACUUCCCUUUAUCGCCGCGUUCCCUGGCUCAGGGCAGCCUAACCUCCUCCCCUGCCCUGCGUGCUGAUUACGGACGCAGCAGCCGCCCCGGCCCAGGGAAGGCCAUCCAUCCCUCUGGGCAGGUCGGUAUUCCCCGAGCUGUGCAGGCACUCCCUGGCAGGCCCAGCAGUGUGACUUUGCCAGCUCUCAGAGGCCGGGAGACUGCGGCCAGGAGAAGGCAGCGGAGCCAACUCUGACACGUGGGGAAGCUCUGCAGUGUGUCAGCCACUGAACUGUUGGCCCUGGGCCUCAGGUGUUGCCUGAUGAACUUGGUGCAUUUCUACAGCUGAGAAUUAAGUUACGUUCUGAUAUAUUUUUGAUGCAAUAAUGUUUAUUUGUCCGUUGCGUAUCAAUGUAAUUAAAUGCUAUCUACGUUCCAAGAUGGGAAAAGUAAGAAUGAAAAAAUAAUUGCCUCUCAAAAAGGUGCACGUAUUCAAGAAGUGUAAUUAAAAUAAUUACCAACUUCAAAGGCUGUUCUCCCUAAAGCACUUUGUGGAAUUUUCCAAUUUUGUGUGUUGUCCCUUGUAACUUCAUUGUGCAUUUCUGGUGUAAAAAUGCAAUUUGUUUGGUUAGAACCAGUUAUAUGCCAUUAUUUCAUGGAGCAGUGUGCACCCAUUGCCUGGGCAGCCUCCCCCAGAUGCUGCAGCCAUCUUCCCAACAGUGCCAGCACGGACCUGAGCUACUCAGCUGGGGGUAAGUUGGAAAGGAGCAUCCUAGGGAUUGUCAGAGCAUGUGAGCAGCAGGAUCACUGAGGCUGCCUGCUCCUAGUUGGGUUUUAGGACUGGGCUCUCUCUAUGUUUGGAAGUUGCUGCUUUGCAGGAUGCUUGUAAACACAAAUACUUGCACCAUGAACAUUGACUAUAUUAUUUCUGAGUGGUGAGAUAGCCCUGUGUGUGCUGAAGUGACUACAUGUCGCUUCAGUGCUGGAGUAAGUUAGAAUUGCUUUGCUGAAUCCAGUGGCAUAGCAGGGAAUACAUGUCACAUAAUAAAAUUAGUGGGAGAAGCAACUGUUGUAGAUUUAGCAUCCUGGGCUAGAUUUUAAGGUGUGCUUUGUCUUACUCAGCUUCUGUUCCCACUGAACCUUUACUGAUCCUUUCCAUUACUGAACCUUAACUGAUCUCAGUGGUAGCAGAGUGCAUCCAAAAGCUCAGAAAUCCCCUAUUCUCAAAUUCAGAAAGCAGCAAGAAUUCAGUGGCAACAAUCAAUCAUAGACACAGUGGAGAUACCUGGGAAGCAAAGUCCCAGGAGAAAUCCUGACUUCUUUGAGCUUGAAAGCUGUUACUGUUACCUACCUGCAGUCUUCCUGUGCUGAAGGAGCAGACCUUUGUUGAGGCAGCUCCUAAAAUGGUGAGUUCCAGUGUGUCAAUUUUAAAUAAAACUCUUAGAUGAACUUCAAUUUUAUUUUAUAUACUUAGAGAACAUUUAAAUUAUGCAGUACAUUAAUUUUUAUUUUGCUUGCUCAGACCACUGUGGAACAGACAUGAGGGUGAACGCUUGUGACAGUUGAUAUAAUUGAGAGUUUAAUGCUGGAUUUUUUGUAUUGAAGAAGUGAGA